rnacentral:rRNA from 1 species
AACGAACGCUGGCGGCAGGCUUAACACAUGCAAGUCGAACGCAUCCUUCGGGGUGAGUGGCAGACGGGUGAGUAACGCGUGGAACGUGCCCUUCAGUUCGGGAUAACCCAGGGAAACUUGGGCUAAUACCGGAUACGUGCGAGAGCAGAAAGAUUUAUCGCUGAAGGAUCGGCCCGCGUCUGAUUAGCUAGUUGGUGGGGUAAUGGCCCACCAAGGCGACGAUCAGUAGCUGGUCUGAGAGGAUGAUCAGCCACAUUGGGACUGAGACACGGCCCAAACUCCUACGGGAGGCAGCAGUGGGGAAUAUUCGGAGAUGGACGAAAGUCUGACCGAGCGACGCCGCGUGAGGGAUGAAGGUUUUCGGAUCGUAAACCUCUUUUGCCAAGUCAUCGAGGCUUGGAGAAUAAGCACCUACAAACUACGUGCCAGCAGCCGCGGUAA